rnacentral:rRNA from 1 species
GACGAACGCUGGCGGCGUGCUUAACACAUGCAAGUCGAACGGUGAACUCCGCUUUCGGUGGGGUCCUUGAGUAGCGAACGGGUAACACACAGGCGACUUACCUUCCCUUCAGUGUUGGCUCACAUCAGGAGGGUGUGAUUCAGACCGGAACGGAUCACCUCCUGCAUUGUGGGGGGUGGAAAUUUUCGGCGGGUGGGGAUGGACCCGCGGCUUAUCAGCUUGUUGGUGGGGUAGUGGCUUACCAAGGCUUCGACGGGUAGCCGGCCUGAGAGGGUGACCGGCCACACUGGGACUGAGAUACGGCCCAGACUCCUACGGGAGGCAGCAGUGGGGAAUAUUGCGCAAUGGGCGGAAGCCUGAUGCAGCGACGCCGCGUGCGGGAUGACGGCCUUCGGGUUGUAAACCGCUUUCGGCAGGGACGAAGCGAAAGUGACGGUAACGGGAGAAGAAGCACCGGCUAACUACGUG